GCCCCAAUGGUGAAACUGGUUAUACACGUAGCACUUAAAAUGCUAUGCUUAGGCUUGCAGGUUCGAUCCCUGCUUGGGGUA
rfam:Cellulophaga phage phi4:1, complete genome.